CUGAUCUUAUCACGCAACAAAGAGACAGACACUGCAGAGAGAUAAAUAGAAGAGAGAAAAAACUAAAAGAUCCGCCGCUUCUCCGACGGUUGUCCGAGCUCCGGAGCGUGGUGGGCCUCGGUUAACUGAACCAAGAGUAAGGAAUCUCAUGGUGGUGGUGAUGUUUGCAGACGUGUCAGCUAGGGUUCCGGUGACCGUAGAUGGUGCGGUGGCUUACACACGAUGGCAAGAGGCUAUAGGCGCGGCUGUUGAUUACCUUCUCCAAUUUUCAGGCUUUCAACCCUCCAACAAGGUAACAACACUGACAAUAUUGGCUCUUCUGAUUUAGAUCUAUGUUGGUUCGAUGGUGUUGUGCGUUCUUGAAUGUAAGCCUUAUUUUUUUUGGAUGAUAUCUGAUUUUGUUGUUAUAGUUGAUGAUUGUGAUUUGUACCCUAAAUUUUUGUGGUGAUGGCGGUGGUUUGAAGCUGAGGUGACCUUGUGGGACUUUUUAGCAAUACCAAGGGCGGCAUCUCGCAACUCAUUGCCACAUUAUCGACAUAGUAACUUGAAUUUGGCAGCUGGACCGUAACUGGAUAUACAAAAACAGCAACGGGUUGCACGUGUGAAAGGAGUGUAACAUAAACGAAGAGAGAGGCGGAUCUAUUUCAAAAGAAAAGAAAGAAGAAUACAGACAUGAGAGACAGAGAGAGUGAUGAAGGUGAGAGAAAGCGGGCAAGCCACAGGAAACUGGCCGGGUUCGUGGCAAGUCUCAACACACUAAACCGAGACUAAGGAAUCCGAUGGUGGUGACGGGCCGUUCAACGGAAAAGCAGUGGUGAUGUUCUCAGCGUAGAUGGUGUACUGGGGGUGGUCGGAAUACCACUGUCACCUUUGACAAUCUCCCCACCUAAAACAAAACCAACCGAAAACAGCAAAACCCAUCUAUCUUGAAUACUAUUUUUUUGUGAAUCGAAGGUAUGGGGCUUUAGUUUAGUCCAAGCAAUUUUCAACCUUAAGAUCGGCCUUUUCCGUCACUGGCGGCUCUGAAUUUACCAUGGAAACGAUCUGCAGCAGGGAAGGCUUUGAAUGCCGAACCUAAGACGAAUGAUUCCUUCUGCUGCCAUUCUGUUUGUUUCUGUGUAGAUGGCCGUGACAAGUACGGAUGCAUGUCGGUAUUUUGUGCUAAAAAUAUCAAGAUAUAAUCAACUUCAAUGGAUCUCAGUUUCUGCGAGAUCUGAUAAGGAAACUAGAGAACGGUUUUACGGAUGUUUGGAGAAAUUCUUCAGUGCCGGAGUCCGGGCAACGGUAGUAUCGCGAAGAUGUUUGAUCGAGUUUUGGAGAAAGAGUUUUCGGAGAAUGAGUCUACUGAUGAUUGGAAGAAUGCGAUGGAUGGCCCAAUGGUGCUUUGCAAGUUGUACCGCUUGCUGAAACUUCGGUGUUUCAUGGUUAACGAUAGGAUUAGGCUUUCGCCGCAUGUGGCUAUGAGGAUGGUGUAUUGUGGUGGUGGUUCGAAAUGCCAUUAAACAUUCAGGCGAUGUUGGCGGCGAAUUGCUAGGGUUCCAAAGAAAGCAGUGAUGAGGAAAUAGGCGUAGGCAAUUUUGGUGUCGACCACCAUUCGUGGCAUCGGCGAUGGUGGAUGUCAGUGGGCGAGGAACGACAUAAAUGAUUAGCAGCUGUGGUGGUUUUCAUUAAAAACCCUACGCAGACCUCUGGAGAAAGAAAGGAAAAAGAAACAGAGGGGCAGAUCGGAGAAAUCGAGCUUUUCUACUCAGUCGGUUUGUGAUUGUCAUUAUAAACCCUAUGAACAACUCUCGAGAAAGUAAGGAAGAAGAGAUGGCAGAAAUUCGAGAAAGAGAAGUUUGAAUAUAGUAUUUUUCGAAAUGCAAAUGAAACAAAAUUAGAUUCCAAGACAAAAGAAUCACUCAUUUCGCAACACAAGGGCGGUUACUUUUCAUCGUAAACCAUCGGCCAAGAUAGCAAAACUUCUUAUUGAGGCGGAGAUUGACGAGUUUUUGGCAGUAGUGGAAAAGAAAGAACAAAAGCAAUUCUUAGACAAAUGGGAGGUACCAGUGGGUUGGAUUAAAGCCAUAACGGUUGGAUUAAAGCCAUAACUGCCCGAUCAAACAGGUGAACAAUGAGUCACUUAUUAAGCUAAAUUGAACUCUAUAUAAUUACUGCACCAGUUUAGAAGGUUCGGCUGCAACAACUCCGUAUACAUCCCUACUCAUAUUGUCCAUCACAGUGUUAGUAACUUUUGUGGGGUAGGAAUAUGAAGUUUUUGACACACGAUAUCAUAUACAGAAAAUACACAAUAUCGUUUAUGGUGUAAUUAUUUGUACAAUUUGCGAAAAAAAAGAUCACUUAAUAUAUUU